AGUGGAAUUGGUUUACCAAGAGGUCAAGAUGGGGAGAAGAGAAGAGAAUGACUAGUGUAGGGGAGAUGUUCUCGUACGAAAUUGAGAGUCAAGAAAUUGGGGGCCACAAUAUUGAUGAAGAGUGGGGCUUGUGAAAUGGGGGCGCAGGACAAGAAGAUCUUUCUGGCCCAUAGAGAUCCAAGAUCUUGUGAAGAGUACUACAAAGAAAGAACUUAGACAGAACCUAUGUCCAGGCAUACCUACUUUAAAACUAAGGCAAAAAAGAUGAGAAAACUGAGGAUCAUGAAGGCUAAUCGGCUUGUCCAAGAUCACAUUAGUGGUAGAUGCUACAUCCAAUAUUCCAAAGUCUGCCCUUGCCAAGAUUAUUGUUGUAGCUGUUUAUCAAUCCUUCCCCAUCCUGCCUUUGGUGCCCUCCCUCUCCCUGAG
rnacentral:lncRNA from 1 species